AAACGGGAAGCCGCUGCAAGUCCACCGCCUCAGCUACCCAGAUUGGGAUCUGCCCAGGCCUAUGACUGUGGCGAGGGCCCCGACGGGGCCAACACCAAGAAGUCCCACAAGGCCACUGUGCAUGUGCGGGUCAACGAUGUGAACGAGUUUGCCCCAGUGUUUGUGGAACGGCUGUACCGUGCGGCUGUGACAGAGGGGAAGCUGUACGAUCGCAUCCUUCGGGUGGAAGCCAUUGACGGUGACUGCUCCCCCCAGUACAGCCAGAUCUGCUACUAUGAGAUUCUCACACCCAACACCCCUUUCCUCAUUGACAAUGAUGGGAACAUUGAGAACACAGAGAAGCUGCAGUACAGUGGUGAGAGGCUCUAUAAGUUUACAGUGACAGCUUAUGACUGUGGGAAGAAGCGGGCAGCAGAUGAUGCUGAGGUGGAGAUUCAGGUGAAGCCCACCUGUAAACCCAGCUGGCAAGGCUGGAACAAAAGGAUCGAAUAUGCACCAGGUGCUGGGAGCUUGGCUUUGUUCCCUGGUAUCCGCCUGGAGACCUGUGAUGAACCACUCUGGAACAUUCAGGCCACCAUAGAGCUGCAGACCAGCCAUGUGGCCAAGGGCUGUGACCGUGACAACUACUCAGAGCGGGCGCUGCGGAAACUCUGUGGUGCUGCCACUGGGGA
rnacentral:sRNA from 1 species